rnacentral:lncRNA from 1 species
AUGGGCAAAAUGGAGGCAACUUCUUGCCCGGGAAACCCCGCCCCGGCAAGUUUGCAGCUGCCCUUUGCUCUACGCAGCCGUUUCGGCAGGGGCAGUUCCCCGGAUGACCGACAGAUGGCGCUAAACCUUCACUAUAGCCUUCCUGUUUUCCUGAGACUCUUCAGGGCCCUGACUGAUACAGGAGGAGUGCCUGCCAUGAGCUGUACCUGCCUAGGAUCCAGAGGAGAUCGGAAGGAGUGAGGACACCUAUAGGAUGCUGGUUCAACCUACGAUGGUCUCCAUGGAGGUGAACAUGAACUUAGCGUUAACAAGGCGUAUGUAGCUGACCUUCUCUCCCAGCUAGAAUUUUCCCAAGAUUUUAAGUCACAAUUCCAGACUUCUCUACAAACAAAGCUGUCACUGACACCCCCAGGAAAUGGUGCCAACCACAUUCCCAUUUAAUGAGCAGCUACUACAUUCCAGACACUGUCCUAGGUGUUUGUAAUGGGUUUUAGUAGCCUUUUGUAAUGUGUCCUGGCCAUGGUGGUGAGUACAGGACUAAGGUGUAGCCAAUCAUAGUACCUCAUUCCCUUCUUCCAAAGCGAUUGGCCUGCAGAGUGAGCAUGUGACUAAGCAGGACCAAUCAAAGGCUUUCCCUGGGACUGAUACACUGUUACUAGGUGAAGGAAGCUCUCUCUCUC